UGCUUUCGGACCUAGCCGGUGUCUCACCAGAAUUAAAUGCCCAUUUUUCUUUCGACCACCCCUUUUCUGGAUUAGGCACGCCUGAAAAGAACUUUUUUGAAAGAAAAAAC
rnacentral:ribozyme from 1 species